rnacentral:rRNA from 1 species
AUUGUGAUCUCAGACAAAUUUAGAUUAUCGCAUUUUUUAUAAAAAGCGUAAUCUGUUUGUAUACAUUGGGGGAUCGUGAAGAUUUUAUCAGUGAGGAUUUGCUCUCGGAAGGGCAAUGAUGAAUAUUAAAUUGUCGGACAUAGUACGAUAAGGUUGUAUGUCUAAAGGGAAACAGCCCAGAACAAGAGUUAAAGGUUCCAAAAUUAUUGUUAAGUGAAAUUAAGGGAGUUUUUUUUCAAAUACAACCAGGAAAUAGGCUUAGAAGCGGCCAUUUUUUUAAAGAUCUCGUAACAGAGCACUGUUUUAUAAAAAAUAAAGUUAAACGCACCGAAAAUUUAACGGAUCUAAACAAUAUACCGAAACCUUGUACGUAAAUAAAUAUUAAUUUUUAUUUAUGGGGUAGCGGAACGUUGGGUUGACUCUUAGAAUUUAUAUCAUUGAUAUGAGUUAGGUUUAAUAUUUUUCACUUUUGUGUUUAUAUUUAUAUAGAUAUAAAUGUGCGAGAUAUUUAAAAACAAGAUAAUCCCAAGUGAUAAUGCUGACAUGAGUAACGAAAAAGGGUAGACCCCUCGCCUUAAGCUUAUGGUAUUUCGUUUAAAGUAACGGCCCCUAAGUUUAUUGAUCUGACCUAAAGGAUUAAAUGAUGGGAAAAUCUUUAUAUAUACCUAAACAUUUAUAUAAUAUGGCCUUAGAUAAGCAGAAUGUUAUAAAGGUUUAAGGAGUAUUAUUACACAGUUGUAUCCUAAAGUAGUAAAUGUUCUGGAAAAAGUAUAUAAUAAUAUAACCGUACCUAAAUACUACCACAAGUAAGCAAGUAGAGUAUACAAAGGCGUUUGAGAUAACAAUCAUUAAGGAACUCGGCAAAAUGACACCGUAACUUCGGGAUAAGGUGUGCCAUUAUUCAUUUUUUAAAAUAAAUCAUUUUUAUAUUAUUAGAAAAACAAACAACAGCUUUUUUUAAUAAGAAAAAAAGUGAUUAAAUAAAAAAUACAGCAAUAAGAGGAGACAUAAAAUGGUGUUGUACGACUGUUUAAUUAAAACAAAGCACUUUGCAUAAGAUUUUAAAUCAAAGUAUUGAGUGUGAUUUCUGCCCGAUGUUGGCUGGUUAACGGAUUUUCUUAGUAAAAUAAAAAAGCUAGGUUUUGAAGGAACCCCCAAUCAAUGGCGGCCUUACCGAUGAGGGUCCUAAGGUAGCGGAAUACCUUGGCCGUUAAAUGCGGUCUUUGCAUGAAUGAUUUAACGAUACAACAGCUGUCUCAAUGAUUGUCUCAGUGAAAUUGGAAUAACUGUGCAGAUACAGUUUUCUUCUAGUUAGACGAGAAGACCCUAUGCAGCUUUACUGUUGCUAGUAAUUGAAUAUAAUAAAACAAGUUGUAGUAUAUAAGGUUAUUGAUAAGAUAAUAGUGAAAUACCUUUACUUAGUUUAUUAUAUUAUUGGGGGUUAUAAUAUGUGUUAAAGUCAAGAGUUAAAGCGUUUGCAGCAACCGCUACAUAGUAGUUAAUAAUGGUGGUUAAUCAAUAUGUUAGCAUAUAUUAUAAGUAGGGGAGCCUUAAAUUGGGAUAUCCGGAAACGGGCCGCAACCGAGAGUUGUCGAGGCCCCAGUACCGGUAUAUGCGGAUAAUAUUAGGAAACGGGCCGCAACCGAGAACCGGGAAUCGAGAGUUGUCGAGGCCCCAGUACUCGUCCCCCACGAAGCUCUAAGAUGGGGGUAAUAUUAGUAAGAUAUACAGAAAUGUGCCGAAACCGAGAGUUGUCGAGGCACAGUACUGGUAUCUCUCGAGGCUGUAUAAUAUAUAUACAUCAGAAAAACUUGUCACUUAUUAUAAUUACCCAAACGCUUAUCCAAAAGAAAAAUGACGGUGUAUUUCCCCUUAUUACCUAGUAAGAGAGACACAAGCACACAUUAAGGAGAAAUUUGCUAGUGGACAGUUUAUGCGGGGCACAGAUCCCACAAAAAGUACCUGGGUGUAUCCAAAGUUAAAACUGUAAAUUUAUCAAGUUUAAUUGGUAAUCUUGUACUAAUAUUAUGCUCGUAGUAUGUUUAUCGAAAUUAAUUAGUAUUAGUACAUUACGUUUAUUUACUUUGUAAUGGAUUAUUUUUAAUUUAUUCACUUAUAAUUCUAUUAAGUUAGAUUAAUUUUAUUUU